rnacentral:rRNA from 1 species
CCUACGGGAGGCAGCAGUGGGGGAUAUUGCACAAUGGGGGAAACCCUGAUGCAGCGACGCCGCGUGGGUGAAGAAGCGCCUCGGCGCGUAAAGCCCUGUCAGCAGGGAAGAAAAUGACGGUACCUGAAGAAGAAGCCCCGGCUAACUACGUGCCAGCAGCCGCGGUAAUACGUAGGGGGCAAGCGUUAUCCGGAUGUACUGGGUGUAAAGGGGGCGCAGACGGGGAUGCAAGCCAGGAGUGAAAGCCCGGGGCCCACCCCCGGGACUGCUCUUGACACUGCGUGGCUAGAGUGCAGGAGAGGCAGGCGGAAUUCCUGGUGUAGCAGUGAAAUGCGUAGAUAUCAGGAGGAAGACCGGUGGCGAAGGCGGCCUGCUGGACUGCAACUGACGUUGAGGCCCGAAAGCGUGGGGAGCAAACAGGAUUAGAUACCCCGGUAGUC